AAAGGAGAAGUGAUGACAUUGUUGGCAACAUUUAAUACAAUGAUGUUUUCAUUCAAUUAAUGCAUUGUUAAACAUUUGUUUUUCCAUUUGUUUUCACUUUUUGCUUUUUGCAUGAAAUCAGUGAUCACAAAAAACCCCUGAAAAACAAAAACAGCUUUUUCAUCUGCAUAAAUGAUUUGCUUGUUUAAAUUCAAAAGCUUUUCAUUAUCAGAAUCAUUAUGCAGGGAUUUCUAAACCCAUUGAACAUAAUGAUCCAACGCCAUCUCCCAAUCUUGAAUUCUUUGUAUUCGGAGCAGAGGAAGAUGAUGUUGAAGGGGAUUCCUGAUGAGAUUACCCGCCUUCUUGAGCACCCAAAGAAGCUCAUUCAGCUGUAUCAUGAGAAUCAGCAAAGCAGUCAAACUGGGGCAUUGCAAUCAAAAAAAAAAAAAGAAAAAAAA
rnacentral:lncRNA from 1 species